GACAAACAUAACAGAAAAAAAUAGCUUUUUAAAAAAAGACAAUUGCUAUCUCUUUAAUCUUCUUUUGUUUGUUUUGCACACAGCCACUGGUGGCGUUUGGAGGGUGAGGAAGUGGGAGGAUGGUGGCAUGACUAUUAACUGGGACCCUGAGGUGGUUGUACAGCUCCUUUCCUUGUGAAUGCGAGAACAAGGAAGCUGAAAAUAAGGCAGCUCCAUAAGCUGGAGAAAAAUGGACCAUCGCACAAUAGAUUCAGCCUUUGGAUUUGGAUUCUAUCAGCCUCUAUAAUCAAUGCUGAUCACCCUCGGAUGGAAAGAGCAGUAACGAUUCACAUCGACGAUGACACCUGGCAGGAAACCCAUAAGGUUUGUGCCUGCAUUGCCCUGGUUGGUUUUUAUUGCUUGUACAUAGAUGCAGUUUAACUGAAGCUUGUGUCUGAUCCCAUCAACGCUCCUUGCCCCAUGCUUACUGCCUUCACAGCACUCUUGUUGACUCAGGGAGAGAGAAGUCCUUAGCAUGGCAAACUUGUUUAUUCCUUUUCUCCUCCCUGGGACUCACAUUAGUGAUGCCUUUCUAAAGGACACUAACUUAACUACUACCCAUUUCUCUUUUUCAAGAUGCCAUUAAAAUCUGCUAGGGGUGACAUGUUUGAAUAAGCCCUCCUAUCCUUCUCUUCAUACUCAGCAUUUAUUUUCAUUCUAAUCAAAGUCACCCUCGACUUGCCUUAUUGUUGAAUUUCAGAAUUUUAGAGAGAGAAGCAACUUUCGCCAUCAUAUGGAGACCAAUAGACUCUACAGAAAAUGAGUUGGCUGAAGGCAUAUGCCUGAUAUUUAAUAUUUAUGCUACAGAAUUUUUCUUAUGGAAAAAUUCAAAACAUAUGCAAAUUUAAGAGAACAGUAUAAUGAACCCCCUAUGUGCCCGUAACCUAGGUUCUACAAUUUCCGAUUCUUGCCUUAUCUCAUUUCUGCUAAACUUAGGCUGACCACAUUUUUCUAGUUUAAAUCAAUAUAUGACUGCUAAUUGUCUAAACCUCCCGCUACUCUCUCAGAGGUGUUCAAAUUUGAACAACGAAUUGUAUAUCCACCCUCUCUAUAUACCUUCUUAACCACCCCCAAGUCCCUACCACUGGGUUGUUUUGAAGCAAAUCCCAGACCUCCUAUCAUCUCGUCUUUAAAUAUUUUUGUGUAAAUACCUUUCUUAAUAAGAAUUCUUAGCCUGCUGUAUGUCCAUUUUCUCCAAAACCAUGUUAAAAAUUCUAAUCAAUAAUAAAAUGUUUGAAAGUACAAAAUGCUAGAUCCA
rnacentral:lncRNA from 1 species